GCUGAAAGAAAGGCAAGGCAGGUCAGCACAAAGGAAAAACUAGAAAAAGAAAUUCUCUUCUUUUUCUAGAAGAGAGUGUGGCACUUAAAAAGAAAAGAGUGAGGCACUUGGCUCUAAGGAAGGUUCCUUUCUUUGGAGAUAAGACAUCUUCAGAGCUGCACCACACUGGGAACAGUCACUGGAAAGUCUAACAAUAGACUUCAACCAGAAUGGAUCUUCUCUGCAGUACUGCUAUGCCCUGCAAGCCUUCCCUGCCAGCCCCUGGAUGCAAUUCCCUGGGGUGGCAGACCUGCUGUGACACACAGAAAAAAACUACUGAGCUUUUACCUUUGGGUAAGGUUAAUUGCUCAGCAAACGUGGCCUGACAACAAGAGGAUUACAUCACUCUAAUCUUAAGGUACUAAGACAUUUAAGCACAGUCCUUUAUUCUGCCAAAGCCUCCUGGAAGGCUUUGGAAAAAUGACCAGAUCUUCAAAAGUACUUGCACAUCUGCCUUCCAGUGAAGUCACUGAGCCUCCAAAAAUCUAAGUCCCCUGGGUUCUGUUGUGACCCCAGGCUGUGUGUCUCAGCUCCUGCCUGGAGCAGAGAAAUGGUUCCUGCUGCUUUGCUCUUUGCACAGCCUCUGCACAGCACCAUAAAACUCAUGACAUGAUCCCAAAACAAUGCUGCAAAGUCUGCACAGGCAUGUGGGGCCAGGCACAGUAACUGGCUGCUUUCUAAGAAAUCCAUGCAAACUUCCAAAAAACAGAUGUGGAGCACACUUCCAAAGAAAAAAUGAGCUCCUGCUACAUACUGCAGAAGUAGUAUUGCACCAAUGAAGUCUUGGCCAUAAGUGAUUGAGGGGUGGGGGGAAGUAAAACAGAACUUACUGUCUGUUCCCUAAGUUUGUCAUACAGAAACUCCAGGCGUUUAUUUGCAUCAUCCAGUUUCCUCUUGGUUUGCUGCAAGACAAAUAAAUACAUCAAAGGACAGUGAUUUUUAGAAUCCCAAACCAAUCUUAUAUCAUUGCAAACGGGUCCAUGCAGCACAUCAAAAUCCUUUCUCAACGACAUUUUCCUAACACAUCAUUUGGAUUCUUUGUUCUGUACUCUUCUCCCCUGAUUUUGCGAGGAAAGACCACAUGACUGUAGCUCUCCACAUGUAAACACUUCAGCUGUCUACAGAAAAUAGAAAACUGUAGAGGUGCACCCCAAAAGCCACUGCUUAUUUGCAAACCCCACUGGCUUAGCUGUAAGAAAAGUGACAGAAUUCUGACUUGCAGCACAAUUUUUCUUACUAUGGUUCACUGAAAAGCAUAGUGAUAACUGGAUAAAAUUCUUACUCAAAUGAAGUACCCAGCAACAUUAGUAAGAGCUUAAGGGCACAUGCAGAUUCUUCAGUUCUAAGUGUGUACAACUCAGUCAUCAUUUAUGACAAAACCUAAUUAUAUUUUUCCUCAUGUGAUUAGUAAAGCCAGCAGUUUGUCUGUAAGUUUUUAGUGUCAACAGAAAAACUAAUAGCCUAACCCAAUCUGUCCUUACAGACACUUUGUGCUUCCAUGACUUUUAUAAAGUAAACCUCCCACUGAUGUGCCUGGAAUUAUUCUGCCACCAAAGGCUUUUAAAACAACCACAGCACAUUCCACCUGGGGCUGCAGCUGCUGGAGAAAUGAAUUUUUAUCCACUUUUUUUUAAAAAACAACAUUUAAAAUUGUGUAUUUUACUCCAGAGUACUAAAGCAUCAAGGUUACAAUUGCAGGAGCAAAAAAAAGCUGCUGGUCAACAGCAGUAGGAAUGGCAUCAAUGCACCAGAGUAAUGGAAUUUCCUCCUAAAUCAGUCUGUGCAUCAAUCCAUCUUCACUUAGGAUAACUGCCAUUUUCCCUGGCAAGUGGAAAUGUUUCUCUGGAUUAAAUAACUGCCUGGAGAAAAUAAAGCCUGUGGGAAUGCUCUAGCUGAAGGGUGAAGACCAACUGCUGGCUGCUUGCUGUGCUAGAAAUUAGGGAAAGCUGUUCAGAUGGCACAAAGGAGAACACAGCACAUGGAUCAUGGGCCACAUGCAGAAACUCCUCAGCAGCAGUUAUGUCAUAAAGGAACUGAGAUAUCCAAGGAAAAAGUACCCCAGGAGGAGCAGGUACCUGCUGUUUCCCUUUGAGAGGAGUUUGUUACCAGAAAUCACCUACCGGAUCGGAGGCAGACAGCAGGCACCUCUGGAUGAGAGCUUCAAACGUGGUCUUCAGAAUAAGGUGCUCCUCAGGGAUGGGCUUCUUGGUGAUCUUCUCUGUUGGCAGUGCCUGCACGUGCUGAGCAGCAGAGAACAGGUUUCCCAGGAGCAGCUUAAACUAUUGUUUUUCAAGGGAUCAGCACUCAGUUGUGUUGAGG